UACGUAGGGGGCAAGCGUUGUCCGGAAUCAUUGGGCGUAAAGAGCGCGUAGGCGGCCCAGUAAGUCCGCUCUGAAAGUCAGAGGCUCAACCUCUGAAUGCGGGUGGAUACUGCUGGGCUAGAGUCCGGAAGAGGCGAGUGGAAUUCCUGGUGUAGCGGUGAAAUGCGCAGAUAUCAGGAGGAACACCGAUGGCGAAGGCAGGUCUCUGGGCCACUACUGACGCUGAGAAGCGAAAGCAUGGGGAGCGAACAGG
rnacentral:rRNA from 1 species